GCUGAGGACCCGGAGGCUCGUGGUUUGUUUGGGCUGUUGGGGGUGCGCGCACAGCCCGGGAAAAGCGGGAAAUGGCGGCGCCGAGCGCGGGCUCCCAGUCAGCCCUCCAGCCAAAGGAGCAGAUGGCCGCUGAUAGGGGGCGCAGGAUGUUGAGAGGGUGUGGCAUGCAUCCUGACCAUCAGGAAGCUCUCAAAAAGAACCGAGUGGUGUUGGCCAAAGAGCUGCUGCUGAGCGAACUGUUGGAACACCUCCUAGAGAGGGACAUUAUCACCUUGGAAAUGAGAGAGCACAUUCAGGCCAAGACGGGCAGUUUUGGCCAGAACGUGGAACUCCUCAACUUGCUGCCCAAGAGAGGCCCCCAGGCCUUUGAUGCCUUCUGUGUGGCCCUGAGGGAGACCAAGCAGAGUCACCUGGAGGAGCUGCUGCUCAGAACCCUGUCAGGUCUUCAGCCUGUAGUCCCCCCGUUGAGCUGUGACUAUGACCUGAGUCUCCCUUUCCCGGUGUGUGAGUCCUGUGCCCCCCACAAGCGGCUCCGCCUGUCUCCAGAUGCAGUGGAGCACUCCCUAGACCAUGGAGAUGGUCCUCCCUGCCUUCAGGUGAAGCCCUGCACGCCUGAGUUUUAUCAGACACACCACCAGCUGGCCUACCGGUUGCAGUCUCGGCCCCGCGGCCUGGCACUGGUGCUGAGCAACGUGCACUUCACUGGAGAGAAAGACCUGGAAUUCCGCUCGGGAGGGGAUGUGGACCACAGCACUCUCGUCACCCUCUUCAAGCUCUUGGGCUACAAAGUUCAUGUUCUUCUUGACCAGACCGCACAGGAAAUGCAAGAGAAACUGCAGAGUUUUGCCCAGCUCCCGGCUCACCGAGUCACUGACUCCUGCAUAGUGGCGCUCCUCUCCCACGGCGUGGAGGGCAGCGUCUACGGCGUGGACGGCAAACUGCUCCAGCUACAAGAGGUUUUUCGGCUCUUUGACAAUGCCAACUGCCCAAGCCUACAGAACAAACCGAAAAUGUUCUUCAUCCAGGCCUGCCGUGGAGAUGAAACAGAUCGUGGGGUCGACCAGCAAGAUGGGAAGAACCAUGACCGAUCCCCCGAGUGCGAGGAGAGUGAUGCCAGUGGAGAGGAGCUGCUGAAGACACGGCUGCCCACCCGCUCAGACAUGAUUUGUGGCUACGCCUGCCUCAGAGGGACCGCUGCCAUGCGCAACACCAAGCGGGGCUCCUGGUACGUGGAGGCCCUCACCCAGGUGUUCUCCGAGAGGGCCUGUGACAUGCACGUGGCUGACAUGCUGGUGAAGGUGAACGCACUCAUCAAGGAGCGGGAAGGCUACGCCCCUGGCACGGAGUUCCACCGCUGCAAGGAGAUGUCCGAGUACUGCAGCACCCUGUGCCGCCACCUCUACCUCUUCCCGGGCCACCCCCCCACGUGAUGCCAGCCCCGGCCCCCGCAUCCCACCUCGUCACCGGCCGCUGGGCCUCAGGAGGCGAGGUAGAGCCUCUCUCCCCAGGAUGCGCGGCUUCUGUGCCUCCCCUCAGGGACUGGGACUCCCCUAGGCUCCUUUCUCACACCCACCGUCUCACCGGUGACCUCGGCCCGCCAGCUUCUCCCAUGCGCAGCUCUCCUGUGGAGCUGGCUCUGGCUGGACUCGUUGCCAGGAGCGUGUGGCCUCCGUUGAGGGACCUGGCGAGUGACACUGUGCACGCAUACCCUGACGGGGAGAAGGCGUGUGGGUUUCCUCGGUAUUUGUGUUCAGCUCCUGCCCCAGCGCUCUUGGAGGAAGCACCCUGGUAAUCGCUUUUGUUCCAGGAGCUGAGAUGUCCCAGAGGUCACACCUCCCAUCUCUCCUUUCAUGUCCCAGCCCCAUUUGUCCCAAAGUGGGAGUUUCAGUUCAACGCAGACAGUUUUCAUUUGGUUUCAAAAGGCCAAGCAGCCUCUGCUACUGUGGGUGGGCCCGGACCUCUGCGUUUGUCCCCUUCGGUUCCAGGAGGUAUCCCCUGGGAAGGACCGCCUUCUCAGCUCAGCUCUUGGCUCCUU
rnacentral:lncRNA from 1 species